AACGAACGCUGGCGGCGCGCCUAACACAUGCAAGUCGAACGAGAAGGCGUAGCAAUACGCUUGUAGAGUGGCGAACGGGCGAGUAAUACGUGGGUGACCUACCCUCGAGUGGGGAAUAACCCGCCGAAAGGCGGGCUAAUGCCGCGUACGCUUCCGUCCUCACGGGGACGGAAGGAAAGCUGUACCGUGGGUACGGCGCUCAAGGAUGGGCUCACGUCCUAUCAGCUUGUUGGUAGGGUAACGGCCUACCAAGGCUACGACGGGUAGCUGGUCUGAGAGGACGAUCAGCCACACUGGCACUGCGACACGGGCCAGACUCCUACGGGAGGCAGCAGUGAGGAAUAUUGCGCAAUGGGACGAAAGCCUGACGCAGCGACGCCGCGGUGGGGAUGAAGGUC
rnacentral:rRNA from 1 species